GGAUGUGAGGGCGAUCUGGCUGCGACAUCUGUCACCCCAUUGAUCGCCAGGGUUGAUUCGGCUGAUCUGGCUGGCUAGGCGGGUGUCCCCUUCCUCCCUCACCGCUCCAUGUGCGUCCCUCCCGAAGCUGCGCGCUCGGUCGAAGAGGACGACCUUCCCCGAUAGAGGAGGACCGUUCUUCGGUCAAGGGUAUACGAGUAGCUGCGCUCCCCUGCUAGAACCUCCAAACAAGCUCUCAAGGUCCAUUUGUAGGAGAACGUAGGGUAGUCAAGCUUCCAAGACUCCAGACACAUCCAAAUGAGGCGCUGCACGUGGCAGUCUGCCUUUCUUU
rnacentral:snRNA from 10 species